rnacentral:rRNA from 1 species
ACGUAGGGUGCGAGCGUUAAUCAGAAUUACUGGGCGUAAAGCGUGCGCAGGCGGUGAUGUAAGACAGGUGUGAAAUCCCCGGGCUUAACCUGGGAACUGCAUUUGAGACUGCAUCGCUAGAAUUGUGGAGAGGUAAGUGGAAUUCCGAGUGUAGAGGUGAAAUUCGUAGAUAUUCGGAAGAACACCAGUGGCGAAGGCGACUUACUGGACACAUAUUGACGCUGAGGUGCGAAAGCGUGGGGAGCAAACAGGA